CGAUGGGCCGACGUCGCAUGCUCCCGGCCGCCAUGGCGGCCGCGGGAAUCGAUUAGAGUUUGAUCAUGGCUCAGAGUGAACGCUGGCGGCAGGCCUAACACAUGCAAGUCGAACGGCAGCACAGCAGUAGCAAUACUGUGGGUGGCGAGUGGCGGACGGGUGAGGAAUACAUCGGGAUCUACCUUUUCGUGGGGGAUAACGUAGGGAAACUUACGCUAAUACCGCAUACGCCCUACGGGGGAAAGCGGCGGACCGCAAGGCGUCGCGCGAUGAGAUGAACCGAUGUCCGAUUAGCUAGUUGGCGGGGUAAAGGCCCACCAAGGCGACGAUCGGUAGCUGAUCUGAGAGGAUGAUCAGCCACACUGGAACUGAGACACGGUCCAGACUCCUACGGGAGGCAGCAGUGGGGAAUAUUGGACAAUGGGCGCAAGCCUGAUCCAGCCAUGCCGCGUGGGUGAAGAAGGCCUUCGGGUUGUAAAGCCCUUUUGUCCGGAAAGAAAAGCACGUAAUUAAUACCUAUGUGUGAUGACGGUACCGGAAGAAUAAGCACCGGCUAACUUCGUGCCAGCAGCCGCGGUAAUACGAAGGGUGCAAGCGUUACUCGGAAUUACUGGGCGUAAAGCGUGCGUAGGUGGUUUGUUAAGUCUGUCGUGAAAUCCCCGGGCUCAACCUGGGAAUGGCGAUGGAUACUGGCAAGCUAGAGUGAGGUAGAGGAGAGUGGAAUUCCCGGUGUAGCAGUGAAAUGCGUAGAGAUCGGGAGGGAC
rnacentral:rRNA from 1 species